UGGGGAAUUUUGGACAAUGGGCGAAAGCCUGAUCCAGCAAUGCCGCGUGUGUGAAGAAGGCCUUCGGGUUGUAAAGCACUUUUGUCCGGAAAGAAAUCCUUGGCUCUAAUACAGUCGGGGGAUGACGGUACCGGAAGAAUAAGCACCGGCUAACUACGUGCCAGCAGCCGCGGUAAUACGUAGGGUGCAAGCGUUAAUCGGAAUUACUGGGCGUAAAGCGUGCGCAGGCGGUUUGCUAAGACCGAUGUGAAAUCCCCGGGCUCAACCUGGGAACUGCAUUGGUGACUGGCAGGCUAGAGUAUGGCAGAGGGGGGUAGAAUUCCACGUGUAGCAGUGAAAUGCGUAGAGAUGUGGAGGAAUACCGAUGGCGAAGGCAGCCCCCUGGGCCAAUACUGACGCUCAUGCACGAAAGCGUGGGGAGCAAACAGGAUUAGAUACCCUGGUAGUCCACGCCCUAAACGAUGUCAACUGUUGUUGGGGAUUCAUUUCCUUAGUAACGUAGCUAACGCGUGAAGUUGACCGCCUGGGGAGUACGGUCGCAAGAUUAAAACUUAAAGGAAUUGACGGGGU
rnacentral:rRNA from 1 species